rnacentral:rRNA from 1 species
AGUGAACGCUGGCGGUAGGCCUAACACAUGCAAGUCGAACGGCAGCACAGUAAGAGCUUGCUCUUACGGGUGGCGAGUGGCGGACGGGUGAGGAAUACAUCGGAAUCUACUUUUUCGUGGGGGAUAACGUAGGGAAACUUACGCUAAUACCGCAUACGACCUACGGGUGAAAGCAGGGGAUCUUCGGACCUUGCGCGAUUGAAUGAGCCGAUGUCGGAUUAGCUAGUUGGCCGGGUAAAGGCCCACCAAGGCGACGAUCCGUAGCUGGUCUGAGAGGAUGAUCAGCCACACUGGAACUGAGACACGGUCCAGACUCCUACGGGAGGCAGCAGUGGGGAAUAUUGGACAAUGGGCGCAAGCCUGAUCCAGCCAUACCGCGUGGGUGAAGAAGGCCUUCGGGUUGUAAAGCCCUUUUGUUGGGAAAGAAAAGCAGCAGGUUAAUACCCCGCUGUUCUGACGGUACCCAAAGAAUAAGCACCGGCUAACUUCGUG